GUUCUAUUUCAAGUUAUGCUUAUUAUGCCGAAAGGGAAUCAGGGUUAAUAUUCCUGAACCUGGACUUGGAUAGCUUACGGUAACGUAAUUGAACCUGGAGACAGUGGCCAUUGCCCUAGGAAGAGUUCUCUUUUCUUUUAACGGCUCAUCUUAGUCACUAUUAGUAACCUUUCGGUUGCUAGUGGUAGACAGCCCUGGAAUCGCGUCAUGCGGAGAUAGGGCUGGAAAGUCGGAAGAGCAUCUCACUCUCCGAGAUGUCUGGUGCGCAAUGGUCGUUCCAUGAAAAUCCAGGGGAAAGAUUGAUUUUCAAGUCAGGUCGUACUCAUAACCGCAGCAGGUCUCCAAGGUUUGAAGCCUCUGGUCAAUAGAAGAACGUAGGUAAGGGAAGUCGGCAAAAAUUGUGCCGUAACCUAGGG
rnacentral:rRNA from 1 species